CUGAGUACUCAGUCACACCAGGCACCAGCUCUGUCUGUGCUGGUCCAGCUGAGUUUGCGGUGUGUUCUUUAUUAGGACAACAGUACAUUGGUGACCCAGCCUGUGUGUGUGUAACCUGGGUUUGGCAGAGAGACAAGUAAGCUCCUGGCAGAAGAGAUGAGCACGGAGGGGAGACCCAGGCUUGGAGCCCUGGCUAAGAUGAGGGGAGGCUGCCCUCAGCUAAACUUAUGGACUAUUCUGAUUCCUGCCCUUGCUUUCAAAGCCUGUGUCACCUGUGGCUGCCUUGUUCUCCUCUUUAGACAGAGCUGCAAAGAGCACAAGACCUUACCUCAGAAUUCAUCAGAGUGGCACUGUGUCCUGGGGACACCUGAGAGCAAAGGAUUUCUUGCUCAACUGGCUAGAAGGACCAGUUACAGCUGGGGAAGGAAAGAAGAGUCACUGCCUUGGUCUGUAUUACUGGGCGGGAGAAAGCCAGUGGCACUGGGUGGAUCAGACACCAUAUAACCAGAGUGCAACGUUCUGGAUACCCAGGGAACCCAAUUUCCUCCCCUGGGAGAAGUGUGCUGUCUUGCAAGUGGGAAGGAGAACAGCAUCCUCAGGGAAAAGGACCUGGAACAAUAUCCGCUGUCACACAUAUUGUCAUGGAAUCUGUGAAACUGCAGCAGUAAAUAUCUGAUGGGAGACAUCUCAUCAUGGAUGUGAGACUAGAGAGAGCCUGUCUCUUGCCUGGGGGAGCUCCCAGGGAGAUGUGCAGAUGUGGGGUUUGGAUAAACCCUGGCAGCUGGACUGUAGCUCUGCAGGGGGGUGGGGAGGUGGUCACCAUGUUCAAGGACUUGAACUUACCAGAAAAGUUAUUUUCUGAAAAAAAUGUAAGCUGAUGGACAUGUUAAAAGUAGAAGAAAGUCUAUUUCAGCCAAGUCCUGCCUGGGACAUCCCCAAAAUUCCCAAGACCUCAGUCAAGGCAUUUGGUGAAGAAUGGCAAGAGAGAGAGAUGGGGAAUUUACCUGAACGUGUGGAGGAAUAUUGCCAUCUUCUCCAUUAUCACAGGUGAUGCUGCUAAGUGUAGUGGCUGCCCUUGUCCCAUUGGGAGCAUCAUGCUCAUAUCAAGGAUGUUUAUUGUAAACAGGAGAGGGUCUCCUCCUGUCCAAGUGGCUCGUGACUGCAGGAUGCAGGGUGAGAUUCAGUUUUCAGGAAGAUUCCAGAGUGGAAGUCUAAUCCUCAGAGCUGUAUUUUGUACACCCACCCCAGUCACCAGCAGUCAUAAUUUAACUACCUGUUCAUGUGUGUAUAUCUAUAGAGUAAUGUCAUAGGCUCAUUAUUUCCCUCCUGAGCAGAACCCUUGUAGAAAUCAAUCUGCAGUGCAUCAUAAGAACAACUCAUCUUUCCUUGUCGUCCCCAAGGUUAGAUCCCAUUAUUCUCUGGAUUUGGGAUCAUCAGUGUUGUUUCCAGAAUAUUCACAGGCAGACACAAACCUUCCUGGUGCUGAGAAAGGUACUUUCCCAAACCACUGUCACCCCAGGACAUGACUGAGGGACCCCAAGCUGGCAUUGUAGUGGGUUACUAUUGCUGCCUCUUCCAAACUGGCAGAUCAAUACCAGUUUGAUGCUGGGCCGAUUGAGGAUGGCCUUUGUGUGGCACUACUACCAUAUGUGCCACUGCCCUGCCAUCUGGGCAGCUAUUGCUCAGAAGAUGUUCUCAGUGCAGUGCCCUGCUUUGAACUGCCAAAGCAUGUCCUCUUGGCCCCAAAUGGCCAGGAGAUCAGCCACCUCUAGCUGAAUCCCAAGUGCCAGCCCUGAGCACUUGUCUCUUGCCUCACUAGCAGGAAUCCUGAUGUUCCUUACUUAAAAGUGCCACAGGUCCACUGCUAACUAAAUUAGUGUGGGCAACCUGACUACUGGGCUGAGGGGAGGUUGAGAUUUACAGUUUUAGUCUGAAGGUUGCUUACUCACAGCUGGUGGCAUUAGACAUGUCUCUGGGAGGACACCUGGUUGUCAGAAAAUGGGAUUUCCCAACAUUUAUGAGGCUAUGGUGGCACACAGUUAGUCCCCUUUGCAGACUGGUGAAUAGGUUACCUGUGAGGAAUUCCCUUUACACCUGUUUGGAGACUACCAUUAUAAACACCAAAUGUGUGACUGAGUCUGCUGCAAAACUAGAGAUAUUCUAACCUAGUGUGGAAUAUGAACACUGAAGGGCACUCUAGGUGAUCCACACAACCAGGAAGAAUGUCUUUCAAUGACACAGGUCCAGGGUCAAAGGACAGAGAAGAAAUUUGGACUCUGUGACAAGCUCAUGUGUAGUGAUUUUCAUAAGAAAUUGCAAACCAUUACACCUGUUGUUCUGUAAGUUCUGAGACCCCUUGGGCCAUGUUUUCCCAGGUGUUAUGGGACCUUGAAUUAUCUAUCCAUUUUACUUAUCUAGUUUAGCUUCUGUGGGAGUGGUCUGCUAAUCUGUCUGAGUAAUUUGAUUCCUGAUUAAUUUUAUGGACUACUGUGGGUGAAGGCUUCCUUUUUCUUGCUAAAAUAAUAUCAUUUCAACUAUGACUUUCCUUGAUUACUGGGAAAGCAGGGGACAUGGAUAUAUUUUGGUGGCUGCUACCCAUUGUUUACUCCUUUUAUAUCCCAGUAAAAUCAUAUGACAAGGCUAGAGCUUCCAUAUUCAUGACAGUUAGGUGAACAGCAGUGUUUGGUUAAAUUAGCCAAUUCUGCACCAUAAAAUCAAUCAGGAUGGCAUAGUCAGAGUUGCCAAGUGCUGGCAAUGACUCCAUGUGUCUGUAUUUCUAGAGUAAGGAUCAAGCAAACCAGAGACACCAAAGGGCAGGCUAAUUGAGAGUGUUCCUUCUCAAUUAGUAAUAGAAACUCUUGUAGACUACAUUGGUCUGACUGCCCAGGAGGGGGAAGGCCAGUAGUGUGGGGUGGAUCAGACCCCGUAUAACAAGACUGCAGUGUGAGUAUCACCGGGGAGGGGCACUGAUCACCUCCUACCCCUAUACCAACAGUGCAAAGUGUAAUGAAUGUGUGUGCAAGUAUGAGAGAGAGAGAAAGGGAAAAAAAAAAAAGAAAAAGAGAGAGGGAAACCAUUUCCCUCUCCUGGAAUUAAAUGUCCAUGAGGAAUUGAGUUUUUGAGGGAAUAUGAUCAGAGGGGUUUUGUCCAUUUCAGGAAGCAGCCCUAAGUGAGUUGGAAGAUCUCUCUGGGUGAUUCACAGACUGCAAACCUCCCACUCCUCCUUCCUCAUCAAGCACAUCUCAGUGUCCUGUGACCUUCCCAAUAGUGCAUUUGUGACACUGGGGCUUCUCACCUGUAGGUUUUGGAGAUCUGAGGAACGCAGUUACCUUGAAAGGGAGAAGUGCACUGCCAUGCAUGUAUCUGAGGAGAGACUGCCCCCUCAUGUGAAAGCAGAGUGAAUAAGAAAUGUGUGCUAUGAAGGUACGUGUUAGGGUGGGGCACUGAUAACCAGCUUGACUGCAUCCCCUGCUGUGGCCGAGCUCUGCAAAAUUUUGUGCCUGAAGGUCAGGAACUCUUUCCUGCAGUGCUGCAUGGGAGAUGGUAGGUAGGGCAGCAAUGAUGGUCUCUGGGUAGGUCAAUGAAUGCAGAUUCAAGAGGUCUAGAAUCACUUCUUAGCUUAGCUACAGACUUCCUGUAUGACCUUGAGUACAUCACCUCACUUAGCCAGUGUCACUUCCCCAUAAAUAUCUGUAUCAAACCUCAUUUCUUCUGGUAUGGCAAGAUUUUUCUUUCUAGUCUCUUCAAACAGUGUUUCCAACUGUUCCAUGGAAGAAGUUAAAAAAAAAAAGAGUCAGGUAGGGUCCUGUUUGAUCUGUGGUCCUCAGCAUUACACCGCCACAGAAUGAGGGGCAGGCAGUGGUGGUGGGGAUGUCCUCCCAGGCACAGUUGCUGGUGGUGCUGUGAAUCACCAGGUGAAGGCCAAGUCCGUGGGUGGA